GGAGACGUCUCGCCGCCGAAGAUCUGCUUAUCUGAGGACGUCUGAUUCUCAUUCCAGGCCGUGAGCGUGAUCGCUUUACAGCGGGCCGCUCGCAGACGCCAGCACAGUGGCAGCGGCCGCGCUCUAAUGAGAGCUGACAGACGUGACAGAAAGAAAAUGUCACAGCAGAGCCGUGAAAAUAAACAGCUGCGCACGAGAAACCCAAGCUCUGAGCGCCUGCUUUCUGACUCAGAGCUGUCAGUACGGAGCGGUUGGACGAGCCGAAAUCCCAGAUCUGGAUGCGCUCCGUCAGGGACCCAAUAAAGGCUUUGAGUAAUGAACGCAGCGCUUCCUGCACCAGACUUUUAUUAGGCUGCGCUCAAGUGCACCGAGUCUCACCACGAGCUUCGUCCGUUUCCAUGUUCAGCAGACUCUGCGGCUCCCGUUGGCCUCGGGCGUCACCGAUUGGCGCAGCCUGCCAGAUAAUAACCGCACGCUUCGCGCAGGUCAGUUUUCAUUCUGAUUACAAAUCGGUUGUUGUUUUAAGACGUCCUAUGCACUUCUGUCCGACUGCGUACGGGGAAGAAACGAUGAUGAACGUCGGCUCCGGUUGCGUCUGGCCCCUUGAAUCGGGAGCGUCACGAUGCCAUGAAGUCAUCGCAAUCAUCUGGCCGUCUAAAUCCAGCGUUAGCGCUCUUUCUCAAAGCCAGUGUAAUUUCUUGAACAUUCCCAUUUGAAGUCGUUGAGGUCAUGCUUAUGACUAGUGUCUUUAAACGUCUGAAACACAAAGCAGAUUCUUGCAAAAGCCUCAUAAAUCAUCGGGAAAGGUAUUGACUAAUAUGGAGUCUCGAAGGGGGGCAGAAAGCCGCUUGGGAAAGCUGCAGAGGCUUUAAUUAUGGGCUCGUAAAAUGCGUAACUUCUUGAAAAGGGGCGGCUUUUCCCUUUCCCUUUCUCGUUCUGCACAAUCGCUUUUCCCCGGGCCGCUUCUUCCCGAGUUUCCCAUAAGUGACUCACGUAGAGGAACGCAGCGACUGCAGACAACUGGAGCUUCACACCUCGGUGGCUAAAUCAACUGGCUUGUGCGACUGGCAGAAGGAGAGACUUCCUGAGCAGGUGUCUGGAUUUUCACAUGUCCGGCGUGUCGCGUCCCAGAAGAGUCUCGCUGUCACGUAUCAAACCCGAACAAACACGAGCAGAGCUCUUGUAAGGUCAUGUUGUCCGUUCCUAAGAAUAACCGGCUGAAUUGAGCAUUGUUCGGGGGGAGAAUCUGAAAAAGGAUCGGUCUUCUACACGGUUUCCCGUAAGCAGCGGCUGGCAGAGAGGACGGUGAACCCUUAGGCCCGAUAAUCAGUGACUGAGAAAGUGAGAAAACAGGCUUCCUGCAGCUCAAACUAUAGAGAGGGUCAUGGGUUCGAUUCCCGGAGAAAGCAAGAACUGAUAAGUCUCUUUGAAUAAAAGUGUCUGCUAAAUGCAUUAGAACAGGCACAAUCGCUCCUAUAC